UCCCCUCCUCCCUAGGUGCUACUCCGUGCCGCUCGGAUCGUCGUCUUUUGGUGCAAAUCUCCAAUCAUUUUGGUGGAAGGAAGAAGGGAGGAAGGAAAAGGGGAGAACCCAAGGUGAUUUUUCUUUUGUGUUCAUCCCUUGUUCAUUUGCGCUGCGAUUCAAUGGAUUAGAUGUUGCGUUUGCGAUUAGAUAGAGGGGGGGCUGUCCAGAAUUUUGCGUGGUGGAUGAACAGCGGUAGUUCCAGCAGUUUUUAGUUUUUUUUUCGUGAAGAUUUAAUGGGGAUCAAUUUGGGAAUCUUGUAGAGCUUUGUUUUAUCUUUCCAACGAGUAUUUAUGCGCUCAAUUUGGAGUUAUAAAUUAAAAGUUAUCAUCGUUUGAAUCCGGGAAUGUGGCUGUCCAGAAAACAGAUUUUUCAGAGUGAUGAACAGCAGCAGUGUUAGCAGUUUCUGGGAAUUUUUCGGGAGCAAUUAGUGUUAAUCAGUAUUAGAACCUUGUAGAACUUUGUUUUAUCUUUCCAACGAGUAUUUAUGCGCUCAAUUUGGAGUUAUAAAUUAAAAGUUAUCAUCGUUUGAAUCCGGGUAUGUGGCUGUCCAGAAAACAGAUUUUUCAGAGUGAUGAACAGCAGCAGUGUUAGCAGUUUCUGGGGAUGUUUCGGGAGUAAUUAGUGUUAAUCAGUAUGAGAAUCAUGUAGGGCUUUUUCUUAUCUUUCCAACAAGUACUUAUGCGCUCAAAUCGGAAUUAUAUUUUAAAAGUUAUCGCUGUUUGAAUCCGCGUAUGUCGCUGCUCAAAUCAGAAAAAAAAACAGAUUGCAGGGUUUAUUUUGAGGACCGUUUAGAGGUAAGUAGAUGUUAGAAUUCAAUCAUGAGUUGUAUAUAAAACUUGUGGGGAAUUUUAUGUAGUUGUCUCUGAAGUUUUUGUUUAUUAUCACUGCUGUCCUAAAUUUUAAGUUAUGGACUUGUUAAGCAGCGCCGCUGCAGUUUGGUUAGUGAGGGGAGAAUUGUUACCGUGGCGGGGUUUGAGAUUGCGCGUAGGUGCGGUGUUGUCUUUGAGUUUUUUUUUCAUGAGAAUUUGGUGCACUAAGUUGGGUGUCAAAAACAGGUGGUGGACUUCCGGAUCGUUCUUAGGGAUUUUGCCCUAACUUCGGUAAAGGCAAGUAAAACAGUGAUGGUUAUUUCGUCUUUUGAUUGAAGAGGCUCAUACUUGAUUAUGUUUGUGCUAUUUGUGUUCGUAUCCAUUUUCCUAAUUGGGUACCAUCGUUUGAAAUUAUUUAUGCUUUAUUGAUUAUACAUGUGGAGGGUGUGGUUUGAUCAUGUUACCCAUGUGGUUAUUGAUGUGAAAUGGGUGGAAGUAUAUGUCUAGCACAUUUUAUUUGGGAAGAACUCAUGUUGUUGACAUGCAUAAUGCAUUCAUCAUCCAUUGCAUUGAAGUUUUCGUCGCGAUCUUAUGGUCCGACCGUACCGGUACAAAUGAGCAUCAUAUGUUUCCCGAGAAGGGGUAUGAUGCAGCUUCAUAUCCUUAGAGGUAUGAAGGCAGAAGUCAUGUUGCAUCUGUAGCCAUGGGCAUUCAUGGGUGAAGUGUGGAACCUAUUUUGGUGAUGUGGAUAAGGUGGAUCUUUACUUUAUAAUUCAUCUUGGCAUUGAGUAAUUGAUUACUUGCUUACUUGCUGCAAAUUAAUAUUUAAGGAAGAAGUGGGGAACCAUGUGGUUGCUUAUGCACGGUUGGCUUGCAUUGUCCAACUGUUGUUUGUUUUUUUUACUUGCUGAGAUGUGUCAUCUCACUCUUGCAUUGUCUGAUGCAGGCACCUGAUCUUUGCUUUGGGAAAGAAGGGAUGUAGCAGCACGGCCACCACACUUUUAAAUAAAGGAAUAACUGUUUUUUUAAUGAUGUUAAACAGGAAGGGUCAAGUCUAGGGAAUUAUUACAUUCUAAUCUUUCAUGGUAGUUGAACUAUUUAGUUUGGUGGGCUGAGAUGUCUAUCUUUUGUCUGGUCAUGAAUGUUUU
rnacentral:lncRNA from 1 species